UUUAUCCUCUUCGUCCAAUCAGCUCUCAGCUCCUCUCACACACCUGCCUCCCGUUAAGUCCUCAUUAUAGACUUGUUUCCCAAGUUUAGCAGUGAGUUUGUUUUCUCCUGCACCAAAAACUUGGAAAUCUUGGAUUUAGAUAAGCUUCAAAAAGUGGAAUCAUAGAAGUUCCUGGAGCUCCAAAGCUGAAGGAUGAGCAGCAGAAGUUUCGGCACUGAGACAUCAUGGCAUCUACACCAUGUUGAGCAUCACAUCAGCAGCAUUCACUGAGAACUGAACACUCACUGUCGUCGUACCUAAGAUGUACUCCUGAAGCUAUAUUACCUCAUUCAAAGGGAAAUUGGGGCGUCGUUAUCUGGCUACGGAGCAUCCAGGAUCGUAAACACUCUGCUCGCUCAGCUUGUAGACGAAGCAAUGAGAGAUAGAUGGAAACGGCAGACUGGGAAAACCCAUCAGACGUCACUCCAGCUGAACCUUGGCAGCCAUCAGCAAUAUUUUCAACAUAUUUUUUUUUGUUUGUUUUCAAUAAAAAGAUUGACUAAAGUCUUGCUAGCUAAGCGUAAUAAAAUAAAAGUGAAGUUAACAAGUAUUUAUAGA